rnacentral:tRNA from 1 species
GGUAGUGUGGUCGAGAGCUAGGUGGCGAGUUGUAGCCUCGCUAAGGGGGAAAACACAAUAGGCGCCCCCACUACCA